UGUAGGCCUCAGUAAAGUCUGAAUUUGAGUAGGCUGGCAAGCCCCAGGAAGAAGGCUGGCAGUCAGAGUGGCCACUACAGCUCUCUGCAGCAGACCCUCCUCCCAGGCCAGACAGCUCAGCCUUUGCCAGGAAAAUCACCUUUUGAACUACUGAGAGGAUGCAAAGCUACCAUGAAAUUUACCCAGUGGAAACAACUGAUAGGGCUUUCCAUGCCAUCUCACUCUGAGGAUGCAGAGAUUCUUGAUCAGUUUCAGUGACAGUCACCUCUUAAAUUCAACAGGCAACAUGCUCUCUUCUACUCUGAGAGGAUUCAAACUGGGGCAGGAGGCAAAAAAAAGCAAAGUUGGCAGAAUAGCAGAAGCUAAAGUGAAGAAGGUCAAUAGCAAAACCUGCAAAAUCAAGGAAAAUAGCCUUUCCUGCCUCAUGCCUCUAGGCAUUAUGGGAGCUUUUCACUGAAAUAUGGGUACAUCUUGAGUGCCAGGAAAUGAAGAGUGAAUUAUGAUAGAGUGGGCAGGUCCAGAUUGGCAGAAAGAGGACAUGCAUCACCAAAAAAGAAGAUACAGAGGACAUUCAGCACCAGAAAGAGGACAAAAGAGGAUGAAAAGAGGACACAAAUGAAAUGAAAGCAGAAAAAAACUAGAAGAAAAUUGUCUAUGUUGACUGGUCCCCUGAAAAACGAUAGAGACCUCUGAAAACCACAGGGAGAGCAGUCUGUUGUACAUAAACACAUAAAACAAAAACCAACCUUAAAGGACACAUUUAUUUUACCAUAAACUCUUGUGGACUACUGCCCACUUCACCCAUGCAAGAAGUUUCAUUUCCACAUCUGUUCUUUCUUAGGGUGAAGACAGACAUAACAUUUUAAGAGAAGUAGGAGUGGUGUGAAAUUACCCUCAUCAUAUUAAAUUCAAACAUACUCGUUUUAGUCUUGU